GGGCGAGUGGUGAAAUUGGUAGACACGCAAGGUUGAGGGCCUUGUGAACGUUAUUUGUUCGUGGAGGUUCAAGUCCUCUCUCGCCCACCA
rnacentral:tRNA from 1 species